rnacentral:rRNA from 1 species
UACGAGGGGUCCUAGCGUUGUUCGGAAUCAUUGGGCGUAAAGGGAGCGUAGGUGGCCAUUCAAGUCAGUUGUGAAAUCCCCGGGCUUAACCCGGGAAGUGCUUCUGAUACUGUUUGGCUUGAGUACUGGAGAGGAUAGUAGAAUUCCUGGUGUAGUGGUGAAAUACGUAGAUAUCAGGAGGAAUACCGGUGGCGAAGGCGGCUAUCUGGCCAUGUACUGACACUGAAGCUCGAAAGCGUGGGGAGCAAACAGG